GGUUCUUUGGCCGAGCGGUUAAGGCGUGGCACUCGAAAUGCCAUCUCGUAAGAGGCGCAGGUUCAAAUCCUGCAGGAACCG